rnacentral:lncRNA from 1 species
AGAAAAUAUACCAUGUAGGCCUACUGUCAGUAUUUGUCAACGUAGGGUGUCCAAUCAAAAAUGCGUCUUUAGACAAAUGGGUAACAUAAUAUGUUAUUUGUGUAGAAUAACCUCUAAGAAAACCAAUGGUCCAAACCUCAUGUCUCUAUCAUAAUCCAUGGAGUUUUUACCCUCGUAGGAUGGCCAGAAUUAGGCCAGAGAGAAUUGCAUCGCAUCAGCUAGGCAGGAUUCUGUGAAAGAAUUAAGGCUACUGGCUACCUGACAGGCUCACUUCCCAUUGAACUUGUCACCUUUCUUCUCGAAUCCACAAGGCAUUAAACGAUAUAGAGGACCUGAGCCCUAGGACCAUGCCUCAGGACUACCUGUCAUGAUGACUCCUUGCUGUCCCCAGUCCACCUGGCCGUGCUGCUGCUCCAGUUUUAACUGUUCUGCCUGCGGCUAUGGAACCCUGACCUGUUCACCGGACGUGCUACCUGUCCCAGACCUGCUGUCCCAGACCUGCUGGAACCCUGACCUGUUCACCGGAUGUGCUACCUGUCCCAGACCUGCUGUCCUAGACCUACUGGAACCCUGACAUGUUCACCGGACGUGCUCCCUGUCCCAGACCUGCUGUUUUCAACUCUCUAGAGACAGCAGGAGCGGUAGAGAUACUCUCAAAGAUCGGCUAUGAAAAAGCCAACUGACACUUACUCUUGAGUUGCUGACUUGUUGCACCCUCGACAACUACUAUGAUUAUUAUUAUUUGACCAUGCUGGUCAUUUAUGAACAUUUGAACAUCUUGGCCAUGUGCUGUUAUAAUCUCCACCCGGCACAGCCAGAAGAGGACUGGCCACCCCUCAUAGCCUGGUUCCUCUCUAGGUUUCUUCCUAGGUUUUAGCCUUCCUAGGGAGUUUUUCCUAGCCACCGUGCUUCUACACCUGCAUUGCUUGCUAUUUGGGGUUUUAGGCUGGGUUUCUGUACAGCACUUUGAGAUAUCAGCUGAUGUAAGAAGGGCUAUAUAAAUACAUUUGAUUUGAUUUGAUUUGGUACCUAUUGGAGAGCUCUUCUU